rnacentral:rRNA from 1 species
GGUUAAGCGACUAAGCGUACACGGUGGAUGCCCUGGCAGUCAGAGGCGAUGAAGGACGUGCUAAUCUGCGAUAAGCGCCGGUAAGGUGAUAUGAACCGUUAUAACCGGCGAUUUCCGAAUGGGGAAACCCAGUGUGAUUCGUCACACUAUCAUUAACUGAAUCCAUAGGUUAAUGAGGCGAACCGGGGGAACUGAAACAUCUAAGUACCCCGAGGAAAAGAAAUCAACCGAGAUUCCCCCAGUAGCGGCGAGCGAACGGGGAGGAGCCCAGAGCCUGAAUCAGCAUGUGUGUUAGUGGAAGCGUCUGGAAAGGCGCGCGAUACAGGGUGACAGCCCCGUACACAAAAG